CUAUUGUCUACAUUGUCACUGCAACUGAUUGUGAAGUAGUAGACUCAGUCAAUUUUUUAUGAUAAGUAGUAAAAAGUAUUAAAGACACAUCCACAGAUUUGGUUUUUUAAAGCAAUAUAUAAAGGAAGACAAUGUUUAAUAUUUCAGGUUUCGGAGGAUAUAGAAGACGAAGAAAUACGGCUAAACCACCUUGCCUGAAACCUAGAAGUGUUCCCACUGUAAGAUACUUCAUAACCAUAAACUCCAUGAAGUCAGAGACAACAUCUGCUUUGUCAAUGAAUGUCCAGGACCUAGCACAUAACCAGGCAGGAGUGCCAUGGCUUGAUGGCUCAUUGCAGCCUCAACCUCCCAUGCUCAACUGA
rnacentral:lncRNA from 13 species